rfam:Gossypium hirsutum cultivar TM-1 chromosome 12, whole genome shotgun sequence
AAACCAUGACGAGGGCACCUUUGUAACAAGUCCUUAAAUCUUUCCCAUGUAUCAUAAAGUAUCUCAAUAUUAAAUUAGGCAAAAGAAGAGAACAUUCCUCAACUU